UAGCAAUAUGUGGCAUACGGCUCAGUAACACGUAGUCAACAUGCCCAGGGGACGUGGAUAACCUCGGGAAACUGAGGAUAAACCGCGAUAGGUCAUCACUUCUGGAAUGGGUAAUGACUUAAAUCUACAUGGCCCCUGGAUUGGACUGCGGCCGAUCAGGCUGUUGGUGAGGUAAUGGCCCACCAAACCUGUAACCGGUACGGGCUCUGAGAGGAGGAGCCCGGAGAUGGGCACUGAGACAAGGGCCCAGGCCCUAUGGGGCGCAGCAGGCGCGAAACCUCUGCAAUAGGCGAAAGCUUGACAGGGUUACUCUGAGUGAUUUCCGUUAAGGAGAUCUUUUGGCACCUCUAAAAAUGGUGCAGAAUAAGGGGUGGGCAAGUCUGGUGUCAGCCGCCGCGGUAAUACCAGCACCCCGAGUGGUCGGGACGUUUAUUGGGCCUAAAGCAUCCGUAGCCGGUUCUACAAGUCUUCCGUUAAAUCCACCUGCUUAACAGAUGGGCUGCGGAAGAUACUAUAGAGCUAGGAGGCGGGAGAGGCAAGCGGUACUCGAUGGGUAGGGGUAAAAUCCGUUGAUCCAUUGAAGACCACCAGUGGCGAAGGCGGCUUGCCAGAACGCGCUCGACGGUGAGGGAUGAAAGCUGGGGGAGCAAACCGGA
rnacentral:rRNA from 1 species